rnacentral:rRNA from 1 species
UACGUAGGGUGCAAGCGUUAUUCGGAAUUACUGGGCGUAAAGCGUGCGUAGGCGGUUAUGUAAGUCAGGGGUGAAAUCCCCGGGCUUAACCUGGGAACUGCAUUUGUGACUGCAUAGCUAGAGUACGGUAGAGGGAGAUGGAAUUCCGCGUGUAGCAGUGAAAUGCGUAGAUAUGCGGAGGAACACCGAUGGCGAAGGCAAUCCCCUGGACCUGUACUGACGCUCAUGCACGAAAGCGUGGGGAGCAAACAGG